UAUUCUGACAUUAGUCAUUAUUGUUUUGGAUCCCAGACCCCUUUAAAAAAGAAACACCUGGAUUCAACGUGUCCACAUACUUUUGUCCAUGUAGUGGAUAAAAUGAGGUGAGUUUCAGUCAGUUUUAUGAUAAAAAGCAGGAUUUACCUUCACAAAAGCUGCUCCAGACAUCUUCCCUUUAUUUCUGGAAAUAUUCCUGUGAAAAGGGACAAAGGAAUCAGGAAAAAAUAUGUGGAUUUACAUCUACAUCAUCAUUUCUAACAUUAAGUAUUUUCACUGUAAACAACUUUCCAUGGUCUAUGACUUUCUAAAAAUUGUGUCCCAAAAUUAAAAAACUCAAAAACA